rnacentral:rRNA from 1 species
AUUCUGGCUCAGGAUGAACGCUAGCUACAGGCUUAACACAUGCAAGUCGAGGGGCAGCGAGAGUGUAGCAAUACACUUGUCGGCGACCGGCGCACGGGUGAGUAACGCGUAUCCAACCUGGCCCUUAGUAGGGGAUAGCCCGGCGAAAGUCGGAUUAAUACCCUAUGUUUUCCCAUGAGAGCAUUUGAAAAGGGAACAAAGAUUUAUCGCUAGGGGAUGGGGGAUGCGUCCGAUUAGGCAGCAGGCGGGGUGACGGCCCACCUGGCCGACGAUCGGUAGGGGUUCUGAGAGGAAGGUCCCCCACACUGGUACUGAGACACGGACCAGACUCCUACGGGAGGCAGCAGUGAGGAAUAUUGGUCAAUGGGCGCGAGCCCUGAACCAGCCAAGUAGCGUGAGGGACGACGGCCCUACGGGUUGUAAACCUCUUUUGCCGGGGAAUAAAGUGCGGGACGCGUCCCGUUUUGUAUGUACCCGGAGAAUAAGGACCGACUAAUUCCGUGCCAGCCGCGGC